GAGAUGCCUCUGAAAGAUGAAUCACACACACUGUGGGUGGGGAUGGAGGAUGUCUUUGUUCUAGGAUUAAAGCAAGAUAGUUUUUCUAUUCUUGAAGUCUGCUGGAGAGGGACUCUUAUGGAUGGAAUGUGUCCCCCUAAAAUUCAUAUGUUGAAGGCUUAACUCCCACCAAUAUGAUGGUAUUUAGAGCUUUUGGGAGAAAAUUGAGGUUACAUGAGAUCAUGAACACCCUACCGUUAGAAUCAAGAUUAGCACAUCAGUUAGAACAGACAACACAGAGCUCCAUUUCUCUCUCUCUUUUUUUUUUCCACACACCGAGGAAAAGCCAUGUGCGGAAAUAGUGAGAAGCCGUCCACAGUGCAGAGACUGUUCUUAUCUCUCCAACCACCAGUUUGUAAUGAUUAUCUGGGUGCAAGUUAGCCCCGAUCUUCUGUUCCGUUGGAGCAGCCACAACUCCAGUUUUCAGCAGCAACAACACUGUGUGGCCCUACACCACACCAUUCAUUCAUUAACAGCAAGUGUUUGUUUAGCACCUGCCAUCUGUUCAUCAGGUCCAGUCUUACCCAUCUGUUUGUUAGGUCCAAUCUUUCAUGUCCUAGAAUAAAAUAGUGAAUAAAGUGUAAAUAUAAGCACUCAAUUAAAAAAGCAGCGCAGAACUGUACUAAAGGAAAGGCCAAAAGAUGCAACAGGAACAUUUAGAAGUGGCAUCUAGUGUAGACAGCUGAGUUCAGACCUCAAGGAUAAGCAGGUCUCAGAUGGCCACACAGAGAAAUGCAGGUCUUGGCAGCAAGAAUAGUUUCCAUGGAAGAGCAGAGUGAGGUGGUUCAGGAAUGCCGGUUCAGGAAUGCUGCAAUCCAUCUUCCAGUCCCGCAGAGAGGGCUUUUCAGGAGCCUCAACCCGUUUCUGAACUUGUGCCUGCAAUCCGCAACUCUAUGGUUGGGUCCUAUGGAUCACUCCCUGGAAAACUUGUUCAUUCACAACCUCCUGUUUUAGUCUAGUGGCAGCCUUCGCUUACUGAUGUCUUUUCUACUCAUCUUUCUUGGUCUAAGUCAAGAGUUAACUCCUGGGAAUCUAUGUUCAGUCCUAUGAAGAAGAAUCUUCCAUUUCAUUAAACUCCUGUAGCACUUGAUGUGCAUGUGUACGUUAGUACUUAUGCAGGGGUUAAUGGUGGACUUAUCUGUUUCACUGGCCAAUGGUAGACUCUUAACUAGAUGCCUGAACCUCUCAGUCACAGAGGUCACAUCUUCCUCACGCUGGGUACUCAGAAACUCAAAGUAAUAGAUACAUAGUGACUUGAAUUGCUUCUGCUUAAGAGAAAAUUAUUAGUAGACAAAGUUUAUGUGUGACAUCUCCCUUCCAGCCUCCUCCUGAAUGUUUUCCCCCAGUUUUACCUUAAGCGCUCCAUGCAUUAGUCUCACCUUAUUAAGGCAUUUUAGGGUGACAAGGGUUCAUGCAAAUACUGGAUAUGGCUUCCGCUUGAAAUUCCCAGGAUUAGAUUCUUUAUAUAUGGCCAAAUAAUAACCAAGUCAAAUGAAAUUUCAUGGAACAUUCUAAAGAUAGUCUGCUUCUUCUCAGAUAUUAUUUGUGCAUUUCAACAGAUAUCUUGAAUGUUUAUAUUAUUAUCUGAGUCUGUUGGGGCUGCUGUACCAAAAUUCCAUACACUGGAUUGCUUAUAAACAACAGAAAUUUGCUUCUCACAGAUCUGGAGCAUCUGGGCAGUCCAAGAUCAAGCUGUCCUGGUCGGGGAUCAUUUCCUGGUUCAUAGACGGGGCCUUCUCCCUGCGUCCUCAGACAGUGGAAGGUGUGAGAGAGCUCUCUGGGGCCUCUUUUAUAAGGGCACUAAUCCCAUUCAUGAAAGCUCCUUUUUCCUAAUCAAAUCAUUUCCAAAGGUCCCACCUCCAAAUUCCAUUACAUUUGGGAUCAGGAUUUCAACACAUGAAUUUUGUGGAAAACACUUUCAGAACAUAGUACUUAGUCACUGAGAAAAACUAAUGUAGAUACUUUUAAUAUGUCAAAAAGAUCCUGAAGAGAGGCUUUUAACAUUCAAAUUCGAGAUGUGGCUUACGGAGAGUGGGCACUUUUGAAUACAAAGUAGCUGAUCUUCCCUGUCACAACAGUGUUAACUUCAAAAAAUAAAAAGAAAAAAA
rnacentral:lncRNA from 1 species